rnacentral:rRNA from 1 species
GACGAACGCUGGCGGCGUGCUUAACACAUGCAAGUCGAACGGAAAGGCCUCUUUCGGGGGGUACUCGAGUGGCGAACGGGUGAGUAACACGUGAGUAACCUGCCCUUGACUUUGGGAUAACUUCAGGAAACUGGGGCUAAUACCGGAUAGGAGCUCCUGCUGCAUGGUGGGGGUUGGAAAGUUUCGGCGGUUGGGGAUGGACUCGCGGCUUAUCAGCUUGUUGGUGGGGUAGUGGCUUACCAAGGCUUUGACGGGUAGCCGGCCUGAGAGGGUGACCGGCACCAUGGGGACUGAGACCCGGCCCAGACGCCGGCGGGGGGCAGGAGGGGGGAAGUUGGCAAAAGGGGGGGAGGCUGGAGGCCGCAACGCCUGGGGGGGGAGGACGGCUUGGGGGUUGUAACCCGCUUGCCCCCAUGACAAAGUUUUGUGGGACGGUAGGGGAUAAAGAAGCCCCGGCUAAUUACGUC